UUAGAACCAAUUAUUUAUUGA
rnacentral:snRNA from 1 species